AUUGCGACCCAGCCUGAACGGAGCUCUUUUUUAUUGUUGGCUGAGCGAAGUCGAAGACAAUAAUAAAAAAAGCGGGAGUGGAGGAUGGAAAAGUCG
rnacentral:misc_RNA from 1 species